rnacentral:rRNA from 1 species
GAUGAACGCUGGCGGCGUGCCUAAUACAUGCAAGUCGAGCGAACAGAUGAGGAGCUUGCUCCUCUGACGUUAGCGGCGGACGGGUGAGUAACACGUGGAUAACCUACCUAUAAGACUGGGAUAACUUCGGGAAACCGGAGCUAAUACCGGAUAAUAUAUUGAACCGCAUGGUUCAAUAGUGAAAGACGGUUUUGCUGUCACUUAUAGAUGGAUCCGCGCCGCAUUAGCUAGUUGGUAAGGUAACGGCUUACCAAGGCAACGAUGCGUAGCCGACCUGAGAGGGUGAACCGCCACACCGGAAACGAGACAAGGUCCCGACUCCCAAGGGAAGACGGAGUUGGGAAUUUUGCCCAAUUGGGGGAAGGCUGAACGAGCCAAGCCGCGUGGGUGAAGAAGGGUUUCCGGUUCGUAAAACUUGUUUUUAGGGAAGAAAAAAAGGUGGAAGAAACCAGGCCGUUCUGACGGUAACCAAAGAAAAAGCCCCGGCUAAAUUCGUG